rnacentral:rRNA from 1 species
CCUGAUGCAGCGACGCCGCGUGAGGGAUGACGGCCUUCGGGUUGUAAACCUCUUUCAGCAGGGACGAAGCGCAAGUGACGGUACCUGCAGAAGAAGCGCCGGCCAACUACGUGCCAGCAGCCGCGGUAAGACGUAGGGCGCGAGCGUUGUCCGGAUUUAUUGGGCGUAAAGAGCUCGUAGGCGGCUUGUCGCGUCGACCGUGAAAACUUGGGGCUCAACCCCAAGCCUGCGGUCGAUACGGGCAGGCUAGAGUUCGGUAGGGGAGACUGGAAUUCCUGGUGUAGCGGUGAAAUGCGCAGAUAUCAGGAGGAACACCGGUGGCGAAGGCGGGUCUCUGGGCCGAUACUGACGCUGAGGAGCGAAAGCGUGGGGAGCGAACAGGAUUAGAUACCCUGGUAGUCCACGCUGUAAACGUUGGGCGCUAGGUGUGGGGGGCCUCUCCGGUUCUCUGUGCCGCAGCUAACGCAUUAAGCGCCCCGCCUGGGGAGUACGGCCGCAAGGCUAAAACUCAAAGGAAUUGACGGGGGCCCGCACAAGCGGCGGAGCAUGCGGAUUAAUUCGAUGCAACGCGAAGAACCUUACCUGGGUUUGACAUGGCCGCAAAACCUCCAGAGAUGGGGGGUCCUUCGGGGGCG